UACGGAGGGUGCAAGCGUUAUCCGGAUUCACUGGGUUUAAAGGGUGCGUAGGUGGGCAGGUAAGUCAGUGGUGAAAUCUCCGGGCUUAACCCCGGAAACUGCCGUUGAUACUAUCUGUCUUGAAUAUCGCGUAGGUAAGCGGAAUAUGUCAUGUAGCGGUGAAAUGCUUAGAUAUGACAUAGAACACCAAUUGCGAAGGCAGCUUACUUCACGAUCAUUGACACUGAGGCACGAAAGCGUGGGGAGCAAACAGG
rnacentral:rRNA from 1 species